rnacentral:lncRNA from 1 species
CUGCAGUGGAACCACUGAGCUAAAUCCUCAGCCCUGGAUUCUACAUUUCUUAAAUGAAAACUGAGGAAGGUCUGAGAGCUGAUCAUUCCGAGAGAAUAGAGGAAAUGAGAUGGAAGUGCAGCCUGGAUGAUGUUGUUGCUGAAACGACAAGUUGAGGUUCCAGAAGGGGCUGAUCUGGAGAUAGCUGGUAUUCUGGAAUUUCAACGUAACAGUGACAAAGAUGACAGCAUGAUCGAUGCAAUUGCCAAUUUACAGAUGGAUUCUCAUUUCCUUAAGUCCUUUUACUUUUUGCAAAUGCAAAGAUAAGAGUGAGAAGAAUAUGGUAAUAAUUGA